GGUGUUCGAAUCGGAGUUUCAAGAAAACGUGAUUUUCGGACUUGUCAAGGAAAUUCCAGAAUUGUUGGAACCCAUUCCGUCAAGAAAACUCGAAAUCGGGAAGGCACGCGUCAACCAAGUGAGUGAUGCCAUGGAUCGAGGCGAGAAUG